rnacentral:rRNA from 1 species
CCUACGGGGGGCUGCAGUGGGGAAUAUUGGACAAUGGGGGGAACCCUGAUCCAGCCAUGCCGCGUGUGUGAAGAAGGCCCUCGGGUUGUAAAGCACUUUCAGUGAGGAAGAACGCCUGGUGGUGAAUACCCAUCAGGAAAGACAUCACUCACAGAAGAAGCACCGGCUAACUCCGUGCCAGCAGCCGCGGUAAUACGGAGGGUGCGAGCGUUAAUCGGAAUUACUGGGCGUAAAGCGCGCGUAGGUGGCUUGAUAAGCCGGUUGUGAAAGCCCCGGGCUCAACCUGGGAACGGCAUCCGGAACUGUCAAGCUAGAGUGCAGGAGAGGAAGGUAGAAUUCCCGGUGUAGCGGUGAAAUGCGUAGAGAUCGGGAGGAAUACCAGUGGCGAAGGCGGCCUUCUGGACUGACACUGACACUGAGGUGCGAAAGCGUGGGUAGCAAACAGGAUUAGAUACCCGUGUAGUC